UUGUACCGACUGGAUGAGCAGCGAACGGGUGAGUAACGCGUGGGGAAUCUGCCUUUGAGCGGGGGACAACAUUUGGAAACGAAUGCUAAUACCGCAUAAAAACUUUAAACACAAGUUUUAAGUUUGAAAGAUGCAAUUGCAUCACUCAAAGAUGAUCCCGCGUUGUAUUAGCUAGUUGGUGAGGUAAAGGCUCACCAAGGCGAUGAUACAUAGCCGACCUGAGAGGGUGAUCGGCCACAUUGGGACUGAGACACGGCCCAAACUCCUACGGGAGGCAGCAGUAGGGAAUCUUCGGCAAUGGACGAAAGUCUGACCGAGCAACGCCGCGUGAGUGAAGAAGGUUUUCGGAUCGUAAAACUCUGUUGGUAGAGAAGAACGUUGGUGAGAGUGGAAAGCUCAUCAAGUGACGGUAACUACCCAGAAAGGGACGGCUAACUACGUGCCAGCAGCCGCGGUAAUACGUAGGUCCCGAGCGUUGUCCGGAUUUAUUGGGCGUAAAGCGAGCGCAGGUGGUUUAUUAAGUCUGGUGUAAAAGGCAGUGGCUUAACCAUUGUAUGCAUUGGAAACUGGUAGACUUGAGUGCAGGAGAGGAGAGUGGA
rnacentral:rRNA from 1 species